UAGAACCUUGAAGAAAUUGGUCCUAUUCCU
rnacentral:piRNA from 1 species